rnacentral:rRNA from 1 species
CAGUAGCCGCGGGAAUACGAAGGGUGCAAGCGUUAAUCGGAAUUACUGGGCGUAAAGCGCACGCAGGCGGUUUGUUAAGUCAGAUGUGAAAUCCCCGAGCUUAACUUGGGAACUGCAUUUGAAACUGGCAAGCUAGAGUCUUGUAGAGGGGGGUAGAAUUCCAGGUGUAGCGGUGAAAUGCGUAGAGAUCUGGAGGAAUACCGGUGGCGAAGGCGGCCCCCUGGACAAAGACUGACGCUCAGGUGCGAAAGCGUGGGGAGCAAACAGGAUUAGAUACCCCAGUAGUCCCUGUCUCUUAUAC